AACAGCUAAACAGCUAAUCCCAGGUCUUCUUUUUUUUUCUCCUUUUGUACAAUAGCUUUUGUAGCAGGAAGAAAAUUAACAGCAGGUGAAAUCUUCUAAAGGGACAGAUCGAAUUUCAGUUCAACUCAAAACGGUUUAUUUCUCACCCUUAAUGGUCAGUGGAGGAUCCAGCCCCGAUAACAGUCUCCUCCAGGUUCAGCCAGCUUUGGGGGUGCAUUCAGUCUAAGGAUCAGCCUGGGGAGUUCAGUCAUCAUUUUGAAGACAGCUGCUUGGAUUGGGGGGAAAGAAGAGAUUAUUGUUGUAAGCAAUGAGAAUGGAAGAGCAAUAGUGUCAGAAAGCUGCAUAUACAAGGUUGCAUCGGGGGAAUUUCCUCUUUGAAGCCCGCUCCUGUACUUCACCAGCAGAAAAGAUAAUCCACAGAGUUGAUUGGGGAACACUGCGGGAGUGAAACGAACCGA
rnacentral:lncRNA from 1 species